UGGGGAAUUUUGGACAAUGGGCGAAAGCCUGAUCCAGCAAUGCCGCGUGUGUGAAGAAGGCCUUCGGGUUGUAAAGCACUUUUGUCCGGAAAGAAAUCCUUGGCUCUAAUACAGUCGGGGGAUGACGGUACCGGAAGAAUAAGCACCGGCUAACUACGUGCCAGCAGCCGCGGUAAUACGUAGGGUGCAAGCGUUAAUCGGAAUUACUGGGCGUAAAGCGUGCGCAGGCGGUUUGCUAAGACCGAUGUGAAAUCCCCGGGCUCAACCUGGGAAUUGCAUUGGUGACUGGCAGGCUAGAGUAUGGCAGAGGGGGGUAGAAUUCCACGUGUAGCAGUGAAAUGCGUAGAGAUGUGGAGGAAUACCGAUGGCGAAGGCAGCCCCCUGGGCCAAUACUGACGCUCAUGCACGAAAGCGUGGGGAGCAAAACAGGAUUAGAUACCCUGGUAGUCCACGCCCUAAAACGAUGUCAACUAGUUGUUGGGGAUUCAUUUCCUUAGUAACGUAGCUAACGCGUGAAGUUGACCGCCUGGGGAGUACGGUCGC
rnacentral:rRNA from 1 species